UGCAAGUCGAGCGAACUUUUGGGAGCUUGCUCCCAAAAGUUAGCGGCGGACGGGUGAGUAACACGUGGGCAACCUGCCUAUAAGACUGGGAUAACUUCGGGAAACCGGAGCUAAUACCGGAUAACAUAUGAGACCACAUGGUCUCAUAUUAAAAGAUGGCUUUUAGCUAUCACUUAUAGAUGGGCCCGCGGCGCAUUAGCUAGUUGGUGAGGUAAUGGCUCACCAAGGCGACGAUGCGUAGCCGACCUGAGAGGGUGAUCGGCCACACUGGGACUGAGACACGGCCCAGACUCCUACGGGAGGCAGCAGUAGGGAAUCUUCCGCAAUGGACGAAAGUCUGACGGAGCAACGCCGCGUGAGCGAAGAAGGUCUUCGGAUCGUAAAGCUCUGUUGUUAGGGAAGAACAAGUACCGUUCAAAUAGGGCGGUACCUUGACGGUACCUAACCAGAAAGCCACGGCUAACUACGUGCCAGCAGCCGCGGUAAUACGUAGGUGGCAAGCGUUAUCCGGAAUUAUUGGGCGUAAAGCGCGCGCAGGCGGUCCUUUAAGUCUGAUGUGAAAGCCCACGGCUCAACCGUGGAGGGUCAUUGGAAACUGGGGGACUUGAGUGCAGAAGAGGAGAGCGGAAUUCCACGUGUAGCGGUGAAAUGCGUAGAGAUGUGGAGGAACACCAGUGGCGAAGGCGGCUCUCUGGUCUGUAACUGACGCUGAGGCGCGAAAGCGUGGGGAGCGAACAGGAUUAGAUACCCUGGUAGUCCACGCCGUAAACGAUGAGUGCUAAGUGUUAGAGGGUUUCCGCCCUUUAGUGCUGCAGCAAACGCAUUAAGCACUCCGCCUGGGGAGUACGGUCGCAAGACUGAAACUCAAAGGAAUUGACGGGGGCCCGCACAAGCGG
rnacentral:rRNA from 1 species